GAGAUGCUCUUAUAUCAGCUAGAACUUGGCAAUUUGAACAACUAACAUAGUUUGGAACUGGAAACGGGUGGACAUCGCAUAUGCACCAUUUGUUGAUGGAUUCCAAGUAUUCUUCGCCAACAUAAAGAAUUACGAUACCGCCGCAGGAAGGCCUAACAUGCAGAAAUUCAUCAAGGAAAUGAAUGGCAUUGCAGCGUAUGUGCAGACCAAGCACGACCCUCAAGAACUGCUUGCUCUCACAAAGAAGAAGCUCGGGAUAUAAGGGUUUUCUCCUGGAUUUGGAUCGGCCGAUCCGAUGACUGAUGAAGCAUUGCCAAUGUAUGCUGCGAGCGCAAUCAAUUGUUAUGUACUGUGGCGCAGUAAAUAAAAUUAAUACGCACCAUCACGCGUACUACUAUUCAUACAAGGACUAGCUUGUGAAUAAGUUACGUCGAAUAAACAGCAAAUUGCCUUGCCUUGGGCGCCAAGUUGUUCUUGCCAGUCGCAGUC